rnacentral:lncRNA from 1 species
CGACGCCGGCGCUGAUCCUCCCGUCCUCCAAGGCUCCUACGAGCCCUCCCUUCCCAUCCCCCUCCCUUGUCCUUUCCCAAGUCCUCUCAUCUCUUCUGCACCAAGCCCUGACGAAGAGCGCAGGGCACGGACUGCCAUCCUCUCAGCUGCUGUGCCGGGGCAGUGGGGUGGACCAGCAGAGGGACCUCCAACACCACAGGGGCGCGAGGAUCCCAACAAGGCUCCCUCGAGCCCAUCCUUCACGUCCUCCUCCCUCAUCUCUGCCCGGGCAGGAGGAGAAGUCAAAAAAGGAACAGAGGCAGCUGCUCCUGGGGAGAACCACACUUUGGUUCAGACAGGGACAAGUGCUGAACUGCAGCAAGAAGAUCCAAUCCAGAUGCUUUGCUUGGACUUCUCUUUCAAGAAUAGACCAUCACCAUUUUAAAAUAACUAUUCCAAAUAAUAAAAAAGGAAAAAGCACGCAACUAAAUAAACAAUUUUCCAUUUUUGAAAAGGAAAGCAACAGUUGUAUCUCUGCUUUAAGAACCUCAGAGUUUGCACGUAGGUUCCCGCCUCCCCUCCUUGCCUCCCGCACACAGAACAUACCCCGCAGCAGGACACGCUGCCCUCACUGCCAGCCCGAGGAACAACC